GCUGCGUAGCCGGGAUUGGCUGGAAAGCGCCACGUCCCCGAGAGCGCGCCGAGUUGCGUGGACCGAUUCCCGCCCAGCUGUGGUUCUGCGGCCUGUGGGGCUGGCGGGCUACAGCCCCAUACCCCGGGAGACGUGUGGGCGCGGCCUUAGCCGCCACGUCUCCAUUCUCAGCGUGUGACUUUCCACAAGGCUUCCAGGAUACCCUGCUGGUUAUCUUCCUGCCCACAGGCCUCCAGGGCGGAAUCGAUCCACUGUAUCAGUCACCGACUGUAUCGAAUAGUCCAGUCUCUCCUUUCCCUUCAGCGCCGUCGCCCUGAUGUGUCUACGGGAAGCUUUUGGCUACAGUUCGUCUGCACACGCGGGGGUCCUUUCUCAGGCCCGAAGAAGAUAAGUCUUUGCCAUGGAGCUUUCCAGAACUGACUAUACAUUUUAGGAACAACCAUAGCAGCUCCAUAAAAGCCAAGCAGAGGCCAGGCUUUCUGUGUGGAACUGAUGACAUUUCUGCACAUGCUCAGGGGCCUGUUGCACUUUUGUCCUGGGAUCUCUCUCUCCCCUCCUGGCCGUGGGCAGCUGACCAAGCCCUGGGACUGCCAAUCAGCUCACAAUGAUGAAUGGAUGACGUCAUGGAAAAGCAGGAAAAAUAUCCUCCAUGGUAACCUUCUCUAAGAAUGGAGUCAGAGACCACAUCCUGAGGUUCACAGUUCCCUGGAAACGGAAUACACAGCACAAAAGUGAUGGUGAUUAAUAAGCUGAUACGUGGCUUCUCAAAGUUCCAAGGUGGCUGCUUCAGCUCCUGCCAUCAUGUUUGUGAGAAGCAAGCAGUGACCAGUGAGAAGCAAGAAAGGAAAGGGGAGUACACAUUUAUUCCUUUUAAGGGCAUGACCUGGAAAUGGCAUAAUCACUUUUGCUCACAUCCCAUUGGUCGGAAUUCAGACACUUGGCCACACCCAGUUGCAAGAGAAGCUAGGAAAUGUGGCUUUUAGUUGGAUGAAACAUGAGCCUACCUAGAACUGAGGAGUUAUAUUAUUUAAAUGAAGAAUAUCAAAGGACAAUCAGCAGCCUCUGUGAAGAAGCCAUGUCACAUAAUCACUCCGUCUGACCUACACAUUGAGAGCCUGACUGACUAGACCCUGAAGCAAGAAGACAACCCGGAAGACACAAAGAAGACCAAAGGACCUAGGGAUCUGCCCAGGGAAGAACAGAACAGAACACAUUUCAGUCUUUAUGAAGAAGGCCAGAAGUUCAGCAUUCAAAAAUCCAUGCAUAGGGGCUGGCAGGUGGCGUG